rnacentral:rRNA from 1 species
CGGCGGACGGGUGAGUAACACGUGGAUAACCUACCUAUAAGACUGGGAUAACUUCGGGAAACCGGAGCUAAUACCGGAUAAUAUAUUGAACCGCAUGGUUCAAUAGUGAAAGACGGUUUGCUGUCACUUAUAGAUGGAUCCGCGCCGCAUUAGCUAGUUGGUAAGGUAACGGCUUACCAAGGCAACGAUGCGUAGCCGACCUGAGAGGGUGAUCGGCCACACUGGAACUGAGACACGGUCCAGACUCCUACGGGAGGCAGCAGGG